CCUGAGGAACAUUGCCCCAGUCUUCCUCUUUUUUGUACAUGGGUUCCUACCACAGCAUGGCUUGAUGAGUGGUAUAUAGGUCUGUGCCCAGGAUCUGAACCUGUGAACCCCGGGCCGCUGAACUGGAACAUAGCAAACUUCAGGUCUAAUAGGAAAGCUGGCUGGGAAUCAGGACACACAAGUUCUGUGUCUUCAUUUGGAACUCUGAAUAAUUCCCUCCUUUCUAGGUCUUCAGCUACCCCUGCUUCUCAGCAACCUUCAUAGUAAAAUUCCUCAGGAAGAGUCAUGUAUACCAUUGGUGCUCAAAGUGUGGUAUGGAGUUCAGGAGUUGGUGGAGCCUAAACUCUUCAUAAUAACACUAGGACAUUACUUGCCUUUUUCACUUUCAUUUUCUCCUAAGUGUAUAGUGGAGUUCUCCAGAAGUUACAUGACGAGUGACAUGGCACCAGGUUACAGAGCAGAAGCAAAUACAAGAGUCCAGCUAUUACGGAAGAUAUUAGAGAGAUUUGCAAAAAUAUAAAACAAUGUCACUCACUAAAUAUUUUUUAUUUUGAAGUUAUUUCUCAUAAAUUAUGAUACUUAUGUUAACAUGCAACCGAUUUAUUAUUCUUCACUUGAAAGAAACAUAUAAAACAUUUCUCAGCUUCAAUUUCUAAUACCACAAAUAUCCACAGAUAACACCCCAAACAAAAGCUCUCUGAGUCCUCAAUUUCACGAGUGUAACGGGGCCUUCAGACCAAAAACUUUGAGAAUCAUUGGUCUGUUCUCUCACCGUCUCCAAUUCUUCUCCUUGCAUUCCCUCUCCAACACACUCUAGUUAGGGCUUUCCCCCAUUAUGUGCCACCAAAAUUGCUAUGAGCACUAAAGACUUCCCACCUGCUAACUCCAAUGGUUAAUUCUCAGUGCUCCUCUCACUCAACCUACUGGCUCACGUGCUGUGGCUGAUUACUUCCCCCUCCAGGUGUCUUUUUGUCACCAGGCUUCCAGGACACCAUACCCAGGUCCCCUAUCUCUCUGGCUCCUCUCUUUCUCCCCAUUCUCAAUGCUGGAGGGCCCAGAGCUGCAUCAUCCUUUGAAAUCUUCUCUGUGCCCACUCCAGCACCUUGGCCGUCUCUAAAUUUGUAGCUCGGGACCAGAUCUUGCCCCUGAACUCCACCCUUCCCAUCACCUACUCCACCUCUGGACUUGGAUUCUAAACAGGCAUUUCAAAUUUUCAGAUGACUAAAACCUAACUUUUUUUUCCAGUCAAACCUGUUCCUCUCAACGUCCUCCCCAUCUCAUUUGAUGAACUCUACCCUUCCAAUGGCUUCCAAGGCCAAAACCUCACAGCCAUCCUUAAUUCCCUUCUCAUAACUUACUUUCAAUCCAGCAGGAAAUCCUGCUGCCUGACUUCAAAAUUAACCCCAAACCCAAUCACCAGCUGCCCUGCUCCAUUGCUCAAAGCCCUCAUUCUCUCUCCCUCGGACUAGUUCAGUAGCCUCCCACCUUAUCCCCUCACUUGCCCCCCUGUAGUUAACAUAGCAGUCACAGUGAUCCUUUCAGAGGAUCAGAUACUACACAGCUGAGAACACACCAAUGGCUUUCCAUCUGACCCAAGAAUAAAAGCCAAAAUGCUUCCAAUGGCAUGCAAGGCCUACUCUAGGUGUCUGUCAAUUACUCUUCCAGCCUCUUUCCCUACAAUCUUCUCCCCACUCACUCUAUCCCGCCUUCAAGCCUUUAUACUGGCUGUCCCCUCUGUCUGGGACGCUUUCUCCAGAUCCUCAUGACUUUACCCCCUCCACUCCUCUUUGCUCAAAUGUCACUGUGUCAAGGAGAUCCACCCUGAUCUCUUCCCCCACUUCCCAGCCUUCUGAUCUCCCUUAUCCUGCUCUACAUUCCUAGAGCGCUUCUAACACAUUGCUUCUGUUUAUGUCUGUCUCUCCAACAGAACAUAAGCUCCACAACUGCAAGAACUUUUGUAUGUUUUAUUCACGAAUGUAUCUUCUGUGCCUGAAAUAGUCCCUGGCAAUAGUUUCCUAAUCAACAUACUGAAUGAAUAUAUAGAAUUUGCUUCUGCAUCUAUGCAACUCAGUGGGAGGGAGGGAAGUUUGGACCCCACAGUUCUUCCUAACUCCAGCCUCUGAUUCUCGAACCAGCCAGCCAAAGCUCAUUU
ensembl:lncRNA